rnacentral:rRNA from 1 species
UACGGAAGGGGCUAGCGUUGUUCGGAAUUACUGGGCGUAAAGAGCGCGUAGGCGGCUUACCAAGUUGGGGGUGAAAUCCCGGAGCUCAACUCCGGAACUGCCUUCAAAACUGGUAGGCUCGAGUCCGGAAGAGGGGCGUGGAAUUCCCAGUGUAGAGGUGAAAUUCGUAGAGAUUGGGAAGAACACCGGUGGCGAAGGCGGCGCCCUGGUCCGGUACUGACGAUGAGGCGCGAAAGAGUGGGGAGCAAACAGG